rnacentral:rRNA from 1 species
CUCCUACGGGAGGCAGCAGUGGGUAAUAUUGCACAAUGGGCNAAAGCCUGAUGCAGCAUCGCCGCGUGAGCGAUNAAGGCCUUCGGGGUCGUAAAGCUCUGUCCUCAAGNAAGAUAAUGACGGUACUUNAGGAGNNAANCCCCGGCUAUCUACGUGCCAGCANCCGCGGUAAUACGUAGGGGGCUAGCGUUAUCCGGAUUUACUAGGCGUAAAGGGUGCGUAGGCGGUCUUUUAAGUCGGGANUGAAAGGCUACGGCUCAACCGUAGUAAGCUCUUGAAACUGGAGGACUUGAGUGCAGGANAGUAGAGUGGAAUUCCUAGUGUAGCGGUGAAAUGCGUAGAUAUUAGGA